GCCUCCUUGGCUAAGUGGUAUAGCGUGUCACUAGUAAACACUUGACAUGACAAGGUCAUCAGUUCGAUUCUGAUAGGAGGCA
rfam:Escovopsis weberi scaffold00005, whole genome shotgun sequence.